GACGAAGGUGGCAAGCGUUACUCGGAAUUACUAGGCGGUAAAGCGUGAGCAGGCGGUUCGGAAAGUCUGUCGUGAAAGCCUCGGGCUCAACCCGGGGAGGUCGAUGGAUACUUCCGGACUUGAAUACGGGAGAGGUCACUGGAAUUCCUGGUGUAGCGGUGAAAUGCGUAGAUAUCAGGAGGAACACCGAAGGCGAAAGCAGGUGACUGGACCGUUAUUGACGCUGAGUCACGAAAGCCGGGGAGCAAACAGG
rnacentral:rRNA from 1 species